rnacentral:lncRNA from 1 species
UAUUUUUCAAAUCAAAUUCAACCAAUUUAUAUUAUAAUUCAAAUACUUUUUUUCAUUAUCUUAUUUUAAAAUUAAAAAAAUACUUUUACGUAAAAAAAUUAAAGUAUUAGGAUUAAAAAGUUAAAGUUAGGGUUUAAUUCAAUCGAAAUAAUUUAAUUUCGUUAAGGGGAGGGGUAUUUUUGAGCCAACUAUUUAAUAGAGGGGUAUUUAAUCAAAUUAAAUUAUUU